GAUGAACGCUGGCGGCGUGCCUAAUACAUGCAAGUCGAGCGAACAGACGAGGAGCUUGCUCCUCUGACGUUAGCGGCGGACGGGUGAGUAACACGUGGAUAACCUACCUAUAAGACUGGGAUAACUUCGGGAAACCGAGCUAAUACCGGAUAAUAUAUUGAACCGCAUGGUUCAAUAGUGAAAGACGGUUUUGCUGUCACUUAUAGAUGGAUCCGCGCCGCAUUAGCUAGUUGGUAAGGUAACGGCUUACCAAGGCAACGAUGCGUAGCCGACCUGAGAGGGUGAUCGGCCACACUGGAACUGAGACACGGUCCAGACUCCUACGGGAGGCAGCAGUAGAGAAUCUUCCGCAAUGGGCGAAAGCCUGACGGAGCAACGCCGCGUGAGUGAUGAAGGUCUUCGGAUCGUAAAACUCUGUUAUUAGGGAAGAACAAAUGUGUAAGUAACUAUGCACGUCUUGACGGUACCUAAUCAGAAAGCCACGGCUAACUACGUG
rnacentral:rRNA from 1 species